rnacentral:misc_RNA from 1 species
AAGUCGUAACAAGGUUUCCGUAGGUGAACCUGCGGAAGGAUCAUUCACAAUAAGAGUGUUUAUGGCACUCUUUCAAAAAAUCCAUACCCACCUUGUGUGCAAUGUAAAAAAAAAAAGGAGUUUUCUUGUGGUUUGGGAGUGAGAGUUGUUUUACAACGCUCAUUUUUUUUUUUUUCCUCAAGAGACACUUUUUUUUUCAUUUCAUAUACACCUUUCUAUAAGUUUCCUAUUGUCUGAAGUACUUGGAAUAAAUAUAAUUCUAAAAUACAACUUUCAACAACGGAUCUCUUGGCUCUC